UGGGGAAUUUUGCACAAUGGGGGAAACCCUGAUGCAGCGACGCCGCGUGAUUUAGAAGGCCUUCGGGUUGUAAAAAUCUUUUCUAUGGGAAGAAAAUGACAGUACCAUAGGAAUAAGGACCGGCUAAUUACGUGCCAGCAGCCGCGGUAAUACGUAAGGUCCGAGCGUUGUCCGGAAUCAUUGGGCGUAAAGGGUACGUAGGCGGGUAAGCAAGUUAGAAGUGAAAUCCUAUAGCUCAACUAUAGUAAGCUUUUAAAACUGCUCAUCUUGAGCUAUGGAAGGGAAAGUGGAAUUCCUAGUGUAGCGGUGAAAUGCGCAGAUAUUAGGAGGAAUACCGGUGGCGAAGGCGACUUUCUGGCCAUAACCUGACGCUGAGGUACGAAAGCGUGGGUAGCAAACAGG
rnacentral:rRNA from 1 species